AUCCGUCUGCCGGGACCAAUGAGCCACCAAAAAUAAAUUGGCUGCUUGAAAAGUUGACCUUGCGGGGGGAGUAUCAACUAUGGAAACUUUGUUCGGCGAGGCUCUGUGAGGAGAGUCUGUGGGGAAAACACUUCCUGGGGAAAUGUCGUAGGAAAUGACCUUUGCUGGGGAUAUGAACUUGCUAAUCGCCCUCAAGCUGGGGAUUAACAAAUCUGUUAAAAAU
rnacentral:lncRNA from 1 species